GUGUUCGCAUUGGCAGCACAUGUACUAAAUUGGAACGCUACGGAGAAGAAUAGCACGGCCCCUGCACAAGGGUGACACGCAAAUUAGUGAAGUGUUGCAUAUUUUU